AUUUGUAAUUGUGACAACAUUUCUGUGAUCACAGGCACACAGGGACCAAAGUGGGUACCAUGACAGCCGUUUGUCACCGGGUUUUAUGUCCCCUGGAGUCACACGAUGAAUACGACAGAAAUGUGCCAUGUGCCCUACAAGAAAAUGAUUUGUCGGUGUGCUGCGUUGCCAUUAUGAUGCUGUCCAGGUAGACCAGAAGAGGCAUUGCAGGAUGCCAGCAGGGUACCAGAUGCCCCAGGCAUGGACUGGUGGCUAUGAGGCCUCGACUAUGCUGAAGAUGUACACACAAUACAGCCAGAUCAUCAACUUCUCCGAGCUCCCAGACCCAGUGGAGGAAUGGGAGCUGGAGGACCUGAUUGGCGAGGGCACAUAUGGAGAGGUGUACAUGGCCAAGAACAAGAAGACAAGAGUCCAGGCUGCCGCCAAGGUGAUGGAGUCCAUCCAUGAGGUCCUGGAGGAGGUGGAGGAGGAGUUUCAGGUGCUCCGAGACCUCAGCACCCAUCCCAACAUCCCCGACUUCUUCGGGAUGUAUCUCAAGCGGGACGGAAGCUCGGAGGACCAGAUAUGGCUUGUGAUGGAGAUGUGUGGAGGUGGAACUGUGACGGACCUGAGCCGGGCUCUCAUCAAGGACAGUAAACGACUGGAAGAGGGACUUAUAGGCCACAUACUUAGGGAGACACUGAAGGCUCUGAACCAUCUCCACAGCAACAACGUCAUGCACAGAGACAUCAAAGGUCACAACAUCCUCAUCACUGAGUCUGGGGAGAUCAAAUUAGUGGACUUCGGAGUGUCUGGUCAUCUUGAUCGAGCUCUUGGGCGGCGGAAAACUCACGUUGGGACUCCGUACUGGAUGGCACCCGAGGUGAUUGCCUGUGAGCAGCAGAUCGAGUACUCCUACGACAUCCGCUGUGACAUAUGGUCCCUGGGGAUUACUGCCAUCGAGCUGGCUGACGGAGCACCCCCUCUGGCUGACAUUGACCCUCGGAGAGCCCUUUUUAAGAUAGCCAGCCACAUAAAACCGUCCCCUGAAAGAGGGUCACCGCCACCCACAUUCAGGCAGCCUGAUCUCUGGUCACAAAACUUUAAGGAUUUUGUUAAAAAAUGCCUGAUUAAAGAUUUUGAGGAAAGACCAUUCACAGAAGGUCUCUUGAACCACCCAUUCAUAGAAGACCUGCCACAAGACCCAACUGAGUACAAGGAGAAACUGAAACAACUAACAUCAGAGAUGGAGCGGACCAUCCACGAGCCGGACAUCACGACCAAACAUGGCCGCAUGAAGUCACGUCGCAAGUCUAGACGAGAAGCAAUACAGACAGCAGAUGAUCUUGCUUCUCUGGAGACAUUGGAUGAUGACGUGAUUGUGUCCCAGUUGUUCAACAGGUACGGCCAGAAUCUCAUCUACACGUAUAUUGGGGACAUCUUGCUGGCUGUCAACCCCUUCACCUUCAUGACAAUAUACUCCGACGAGUACUCCAAGAAGUACAUGAACGCCCCGAAGGACAGCUUGCCACCUCACAUCUUCGCUGUCGCCGAUCAGUCCUUUCAGAUGAUGAUGCAUAAUAAACACAACCAGUGUAUUGUGAUCAGCGGGGAGUCUGGGGCUGGCAAGACGGAGAGCGCCAACCUCCUGGUCCAGCAGCUCACCCAGCUAGGCAAGGCACCAAAUCGUACAUUAGAGGAGAGGAUUUUACAAGUAAACCCUUUGAUGGAAGCCUUCGGUAAUGCCAAGACGGUCAUCAACGACAACUCCAGCCGGUUCGGGAAGUACCUUGAGAUGUUCUUCACAACUCACGGAACUGUAAUGGGAGCCAAAAUUACUGAGUAUCUGCUGGAGAAGUCGCGUGUCAUUCAUCAAGGAAAAGGGGAACAAAGUUUCCACAUCUUCUAUUACGUCCAUGACGGCCUGAUCUCCAGUGACAAUGACAAGUUCCACCUUAAGAAGAGCAAAGUGUACAAGUAUCUCCAGGAAUACACCAGUGCCCCCCCAGACAUAGCCUCAUUGUCAGUACACCGGGUCAAGUUCAAGGCCAUUCAGACAUGUUUUGAUGUAAUUGGUUUCCAGAAAGAGGAGGUGUCGUCCGUGUAUGCUAUCCUGUGUGGGAUCCUGCACAUUGGCAACAUGGAGUUCCAGGAGAAAGAGCUGUCGGACCACACCGGGGACUGCUGUGUCAUCAGUGACAGGAGUCUGCUCGAUAUAGUAUCGUCCCUGCUUGGAGUACACUCUGAGGACAUACAAGAAGCUCUCACUUCAACAGCAAUGGUAGCCAAGGGUGAGCUCAUCAUCCGCAACAACAACCUCCGUGAGGCCUUCAAUGCCAGGGACGCCAUGUCAAAGGCCCUGUAUGGCCGCCUCUUCAGCUGGAUCGUCAACAGGAUCAGUGCUCUCCUCAGACCAGCCAAAACAGAAAGAUCUGAUGAUGAGAGCUUGGUGAUUGGGCUUCUGGACAUCUUCGGGUUUGAAAACUUCACACGCAACUCCUUUGAACAACUUUGUAUCAACAUUGCCAAUGAACAAAUACAGUAUUAUUUCAACCAGAACAUCUUUGUCUGGGAGAUGCAAGAGUAUCAUAAUGAAGGUAUUGAUGCCAAGGAUGUGAGCUAUGUGGACAACCGGCCCAUCCUGGACAUGUUCCUGAUGAAGCCCAUGGGUGUCCUGUGUCUGCUGGAUGAAGAGAGCAACUUCCCAAAAUCCACUGACCAGACUCUAGUUGAGAAGUUCCAUCAGAACAUUAACUCGCCCUACUACACAAGACCGAAGGCUGACAAUCGCAAGUUUGCUAUCGAGCACUAUGCUGGCAAGGUGACGUACGAUGCCUCUGGCUUCCUGGAGAAGAACAGAGAUCGACUUCCUGUUGAGAUCGUUGACAUCCUGCGCCAAUCCAGCAACUCUGUGGUCAAGGCUCUGUUCCAGACUCCCCUCACAAAGACAGGAAACCUGGCUACGGGUAGUCUCAAGUCCAACUUCAACAGUACCAAAUCCAGUGCAUUUAACUCUCCCAUGAGCACCAACAGCGGGUUUACAAUCCAGAGUUACCAGCCUCAGAGCAGAUCAGCAUUUGGAGGCAGCAGGAUUUAUUUGAAUGCUCUUAAUGCAUCUGGUUCUACCAGCAUGACCCGGAUCCAGCAGACCGUGUCCACGUAUUUCCGCUUCUCUCUCAUGGACCUCCUGGCCAAGAUGGUGGCUGGCUCCCCACAUUUUGUCAGAUGUAUCAAGCCGAACGACAAAAAGGACCCUGAUCACUUCGAGUCGGAGAAGGUGAUGAUUCAGCUGAAGUAUACUGGCGUCCUGGAGACUACUCGGAUCAGGAGGCAAGGUUAUUCUCACAGGAUACAGUUCAGUGAGUUCCUCAAGAGGUACCAUGUGCUGUGUUUCCAGUGGAAUGAGAAGAUCCCCAUCAAUGCCGAGACCUGCACUGUGCUCCUGGAGAGGCUGGGGCUGCAUCACUGGGCCAUCGGCAGGACGAAGGUUUUCUUGAAAUACUACCAUGUGGAGGAACUUGCUCGGAGGUACGAGAGCUUCUACGAGAAGUUGAUUCUAGUCCAGGCUUGUGUGAGGCGCUGGCUCAGUCGAACGCACUUCUUCCGCAUGAAGUGGCAGCGAGACAAGGCAGCGCUCAUCAUGCAGAAAUUUGCCCGAGGAUGGCAUGUGCGGAAGGAGUACCAGACAGUUGUGCAGCAGAGACGCAGGGCGGCCAUUGUUCUACAAAAAUUGGCACGUGGGUUACAUACCAGGAAGGUGUACAAGCCGGUGAUCAAACAGCGCCACAAUGCCGCUGUCUCCAUACAGACUGCAUACAGAGGUCACUUGGUGCGAAAAAGGGUCAUGGAAAACAAAAGAAAUGAGGAAGAACAAGCAAGGAAAAUACAAGCAGUGUUCCGAAAGAAGCAGACAAAGAUUGUUGCAGAGAAGGAAAAACGCCAGAAUUUGUAUGCAGCUAAGAGAGCGGCCACUCUCAUACAGACCUACUUCCGUAUGUGGCGCUCCAAGGUUUUCUACAGUCAGUUGCAGGAAUACAAGAACAAGAAGGAACUGGAACUCAUCUACUUUGGACAACAGGUCGAAGCCUACAACACGGAUGCAUCUGACUGUAUGCAACGAAAUAACAACAAGAGGCGAGGUGUUCCUGUUGAGGUUGUGGCCUUGACACAAGGUCACACGUCAGAGGUGAAGGUCGAGGACAAGCAGGUGACCUUCCAGGAGCGCAUUGCCAAGAUGGACAUCGAUGAGGCCAGGGCGGAGCAUCUGGUGAAGCUGCAUGAAGAGAAGGGCCUCAUGUCUGAGCAGGAGACGGGGUAUUACGACAGUAUUGCUAACCUGGAGACAGGGGAAGAGGGUCUAGUCAUUGGCACCAGCACACCAAAGACAGCUGGACAGCCCUCCAUGGUGCACAUGGCGCCAGGCCUGAGUGCCAGUGUGAUGGGCGUGGAGCAGAGUGAGUACUAUGACUCCAUGGUCAGAGAAAACAAAACACAAGGGCUGACAAAUGGACACACUUCGCAGGUCCAAGCUGUGCAGGAUACCAAAAGCCAAUCAGCCUUGUGUUCUCGAGCACUAUUAGCUCAGUCAGCAGCUCAGACUUUCCUGGCCAACAAGCCUUGCGACCUCCAGUCGGGUGACUCCGCCAAGCCCUUACCUAAAAACAGCAGCUCCUCUAACCUGGCGUGGGACGCUCCGUUACAAUCGGCACGGGAACGGGCACUUGCAUCGCAGGACAUUGACUCUGAUGAAGAGAUUGAGUACCCUACCAACGGACUUGUCGAGACUGACCUCACAACUGACAAGUCAGCGUUUUUCGAAGAGGAUAAUGACCCUCAUGAAAUGGCCAAGAGGUUGGAGAAGGAGAUGGCUGCCAGCGUGGUGAGCUUCUGGAGGAAGAGCGUGAUGCAGUCACAAGUGCAUGUCGACUAUGAGGAGUACGAUGAGGAUGAAGAGGAAGAGAACACUUCAAAUGUUUCCUAUGGUCACGACCCAGAUCUACCUCCCCCACCUCCACCCCUGGAAAUGACAAUGGACUCACCCACGGGUGCCCCUCCUCCUCCUCCACCACCCCCACCUCCUCCACUGCCUCACUCUCAGACCAUGCCCAUGAUGAACGGAGGGGGACAUGUCGGGUUGUUGGAGAAUGGAACAAAUGGAGACUUGCAAAGAUCUGAAGAUAGAAAUGUGCCUAAGUCAAAAAGUGACAACCAUAUCGGAAAUGAUACUCAGCUUGUGGCAAAGCAAGUUUCACUUACCGAUAUCCGAGCCAAACUUCGGAAAACAAACAUUGAUGUUGGGGAAGGAACUCUCAGAAGGGUUGUAGAAUCCUCACCCUCUCAAGUUGACUUUCGUCAUGUCUUAAAGAAAAAACAGCAAAAGACUCUAAUGGGGAAUGGUUAUAACUAAGAAGCUCAGAAACUAAUACAUCUACAGUGAACAGUCUUCAGAAACCAAUACAUCUACAGUGAACAGUCUUCAGAAACUAAUACAUCUACAGUGAACAGUCUUCAGAAACCAAUACAUCCAGCUUGCUUCAGGAAGCCUUCACAAUGUCCAUGUUUUCAGAAACAACUACAUCCUUUUGCCAAACAGUUUAUUUUUGAACAAACAUUCUGAAAUUAUCCUUACUUACUAGAUGUUAUCUAGUGUGUAAUUUUACAUUAUUUCUUAGUUAAAAUAUGAAUCCAAAGAAUAGGACCCCAUCUCUAUGGAGCUUCUUCUUAUGCCAGAAUGUGAUAGCACCUGUGUAAGUGUUUGUAUGUAUGUAUUAUUUUUAUCUAAUGACCUCAGACCCUUGUUCACCUAGAUGUGAAUGGCGCCUCCAUAUAUAGUGUUGAAAUGAUGGUCCAUGUUAAAUAUAGAAAUAUUGUGUUUUUUGCUCUUGGCCCUCACAAUGUCUUAACACAUGACAAAAAUAACCAUUCAAUCUCAGAGAUUGAAGAGAAUGUUGACCAAAAUUGAUUUCAGUGUUUAUUGACAGUGAUGCUAUAAAAAUUACUGUUGGUAUUUGAUGAAUUGAUGACAGAACUGCAGUUAUGUUCUUCAGUUAUAUCAAAGAUAUUGUCAGUCGAAACAACGUGAGCACAAAUAAAAUGCCACCCAAAGUAUUGAAUACAAAGAGCAUUAAUCACAUGAGGUUGAUACCUACAGUGUUUAUAUAGUCCAUGUAGGUUUGAUGGUUACCUGUGGUAAUAAAACAUAAAAUAUUAAUUAUUUGAUUUAUAUACAAUAUUGAUGAGUUCUAUGUUGAAAGUGAUGUCCAGUUGUCCUCUUUAUACAUUCCCCUGACAUACGUUUGUUCUGCACUGGAUGUUGAUCUCAGUAUGACUUCGUCUUCGUUUCUUUACAAAUAUUGAGGACAUUGUCUUUACGCUUUUCACCAAAGUUGGAGGACAAUUCAGCUUUACUAGGAGGAGGAAGCAGAGCUGUGUGUUUGAUGUGUUGUUUUACUCACCAAUAACUGACAGAUAGACUGGAUCAGAAAAUCCCACUUUGCACAGAUGCGCAUCUGGGGUAGAACAAGGUUCCAGGAUGACAUGUUACAGUUUGCCUGUCUUGAGUUUUCAUGAACAAAUGUUAAUCAAAGUUUAAAGGAGGACUUGUCUCUGUGAAAUGGCUGGGAUGGCUAAUAAUGUUCUUUCUGAGUACUAGCUGUAGAGGAAUUAUCCUGCAUAUGUGAGAAGGUGACAUUGCACAUUCAGUAAUGAGUCGAUAUGUUGGUUGAAAGUUCAGUCCCCAGCAUUUUGGCAAUUGGCUGUGACUGGCCAGUAGUGUUCAAAUGUUUUAAAUGUUUUUGAUAUUGAAAAGGUGUAAUAUAUUUAGAAAUAUUUUGUAAUUACCCUGUACAGUUUGAUUUGGUAUUCUUGUGUGAAUAUUGAGUAUUGUAGUGAAUCUGUGAGAUGAAAUAGAAAGUUUUAUGGGUUUGACCCUGGAAGAUCCUGAAAAACAAGGCAAAGGAAAUAUGUAAUCUACCGACAGAGUUGGCUUAAAUGUACAUCGUGUGUGAUUCUAAUGCCAAAAUAUUCUCAAAAUAGAAUAUCCACAUGUUUUUUCACAGUUGUUUCAUAGUUUUGAAUUUUACAUUUGUAGGAGGAAAAAUGUCCUUCAAAUCUUGUAAUAUUUCUGAAUAGUGUGUAUAUUCAUGUAGCUGGGUUUCACAGAUGUAUUUGAUUGUCAUUUGUGCACAUUUCCUAUCUUGAUGUUAGGUAUACCAGCACAAUAUUGUCACAUGCAAUAAGAAAUGUAUACUGCUCAAAACGAGUUAGAGAGCACAUGAUUCUUCACAUUACUAUAGUCAAUAUGCCAUGGCAGAUUAAAUAUAGUAGUAUGAAGGAAUCAGGUGUUCUUUAACUUCUUUUCAGUAGUAUAUAUGACCACUGUGACAAUGUUGAUUUGAGAUUAAACUUAAUUGUCAAUUCUUAACUCACAUUUAAUUUGAUUUUAAAAUUUCUUUAUUUCACCAAAGAUUUUAUUCAUAUAUGGUUUAAUAGGAAUAGAUGUUAUGCAGUCAUAGGUCACAGCAACAUAUUUACUAAGCUGUGACAGGUUUGUCAAAAUAGAACCUUUGUGCUGGUAAAUGAGAGGAAAGGUAGUUAUGUACAGAUUGUUGACAGGGUGUUGACCAUGUAAUUAUGUCACUUUCAAAUAACAGAAAAUCAAUUCCAAAGGUUCAGUGUAAAUAUUUUCUUGUUAGGAUUUGGGAUUGGCAGCUUCAAUUGAAUUUUGAUUAGUUACGUAGCUUGUUGCUUGUGAAACACUUCUCAAUUGUCUGUGAUACUACUAGCAUUCCAACAGUUUUACUUAUGAAUGUUAAAAGUGUUUUGCUUGUUAUAUAACUUUUAGUGCUUAACCCCACUGUUAUAUAUCUGUAUAUCAGUUGUGAGUGUGUUCCAGUUGAAGUUAGGUGUUUUUCAUACCAAUAUGAAACAUAUCAACGGUUGUGAUGAAGCUAUUUUCUUGUAAACUAUAUACAUUUGCUUGUAUGUUUGAUGUUGAUGAUUGUGUUUGUUGUAAUAUCUGUUUUAAUGAACUUGCAGAGUUUAGAAUAUUUGGUGCUCAUGUACAAAGUGUUGUUGAAAAUUAAAAGUUUAACGUUUUAGAGACAAGAAAAUGGAAAAAUGAACGUUCUUAAAUAGUGACAGUGAUAUAUUUUGGGUAAUAUUAUUCUAGAGAGGCAAUAUGUCGAUAAACGUAUAUCAUGUGUCUGGCGUUAUAUUACAAUGUAUCCAUUGCUUACAUGUUUGUUAGGAUGUUUUUGUUAACAUCAUUGUUACAGGACUUUGUUACAUGACACUUACAUGACAUUGUUGCAUGACACAUGACAUUAUUACUUGACACAUGACAUUAUUACUUGACACUUACAUGACACAGUUACAUGACACAUGACAUUGUUACAUGACACUUACAGGACUUUGUUACAUGACACUAUUACAUGACAUUGUUGUCAGUGUUAUAUUGUCAUGCAUAGCAUGUACAUAUGAUUACAUUUUAUCAACACUUAACAUAAUUUUAACAGAACAAAUGAAUGACCGUUGAAUGUCCCUUUGUCUUGCAUGUUUGCACUUAUCUUUAUUACAAACAAAAUUAAAAUUUAGAAAGAUAACAUCAUUAAAAGCCUGAUGUUCCAAUUUGAGGAGAAAAAUCUUUUGCAGAUUUAAAUUGAACCAAGUACUUCAUAACUUUUGUCGUUAUAACUUAAAUGAAGACAUGAAACUGUCAUGGAUAACAACUUUACUGUUUGUCAAUGGCUAACAACUUUAUUGUUUUCACAUGGAAUAACAACUUCUGUUGUUCCUAACAUUUUCAAGUCUUCAUUUUCCACCAAUCUUAAUGCCAAUCAAACACUUGAUGACUCAAGUGAAUAGUAGGGAUUUACUAUUAAUUCUGUUCAGCUAAGGGACUGAACAUUUAUUUUGGGGUGAGUAGGUGUGCGGUCUUCCAUCCAAGAGAAUGCCCUCCUGCAUCUGCAUUGUUUUGGGGCUGACCAUCAGUAAAUAUUUGUCCAUUUUUAACUUUCCGUCAUCCGUCCACCAGUGACAUCUGAGACUGACUUCAGAAGGUCUCUGCAACAAGAAUAUUUAGUUUUUGAAAAUACAACAAAUUUAAACUUUAAACAAUAUAAAUAAUUCAAGUUUUGAAUACAUUGUGUGUUGAAGUAUCUCCUUUGGAACACCCAUCCCACCAUAAGAAAUACUGGUCCCUAUCAUUCAAAUCCUUCCU
rnacentral:misc_RNA from 1 species